rnacentral:rRNA from 1 species
UACGUAGGGUGCGAGCGUUAAUCGGAAUUACUGGGCGUAAAGCGUGCGUAGGCGGUUCGUUAAGUUCGUUGUGAAAGCCCCGGGCUCAACCUGGGAACUGCAAUGGAAACUGGCGGGCUUGAGUGUGGCAGAGGGGGGUGGAAUUCCGCGUGUAGCAGUGAAAUGCGUAGAGAUGCGGAGGAACACCGAUGGCGAAGGCAGCCCCCUGGGCCAACACUGACGCUGAGGAGCGAAAGCCAGGGGAGCAAACGGG